rnacentral:lncRNA from 1 species
GUAAAAUUUUCAAUCAAAGUGGAGUUAUGAAUCGUCUGGUCAUUUGGCAAUCAAAAUAGUGAUUCUAAUAAUAAUCUGAUGGCCAAAUUAAUUAGAUAUUUGGAAGAAAAAUGCCAUCCUCACCCAGAAUUUCAUCUAGUCCAAUGCUUCCUGUGCAAUUAGUCUAUGGCACAGCUGCUUUUGUGGUCACUUUUUUGAUUAUUAAUCAUAAUGAAACAACUAUAAGAGAUGAUCAGAGAUCCGAAGUUUUUGGAUGGUUAAAAGACAUUGGAAUCGCAAAAUAUAGAAAAGAGAUUUACGGAAAUGGUUGUACGGAUCUAGUCCGAUGCGCCGCUUCGCUCACCAUUGAUCCAACCCACGAUCACCACCACCAACUUCGUUCGUCCAGCGAGUGGUCUCGUCUUCCGACGCAUACACGCCACACACUGGUUUUGGCGGGCAGCGAGUUGCGCCAGAGACUCAUUUUACGCCAGUGGCUCAAACAGCACGCAUUAGACGACAAGGAACAGAGGUGAGUGGCUGGUGUUGAAAAUUCUUUCCAUUCUUUUAUUAAUAAACACGCAUUCUAAAUUUAAUCGACUCAACUAUACACUAUUACUUUUAAGCUAUUAUGACGUUGUUUAUCCCGGUCAUGACACCAUUUUUCUCUCUUUAAAAAGCUUGUUUUCGAGAGUUUAGUAAGCGUUAAACUACACUCUCUCGCUCCUAUUGCAUAAUAUAAAGAUGUUACCGCCGUGUGAAUAUCGGAUGUGGAUAAUACGAGAGGGAUUUUAACACGUUAAGCCGAGACAGUUGUUGUGUUAAGACGCAUUUAACGUAAGGGGAUGGAUGGACAAUGCUCCAGCUAAGCGGCUCCUCCUUUAUAUAUAUAUAUAUUGGAAUUUAUCUCGUAUCAGAUAUGAGAAAAAUGGGCAAAGAUAUUAAAUUUUUAGUGGAUAAAAGUAAGAAUUAUUUUAUUAUCGAUUCGUUGGUGAGAUAUUUCCGUUCUGUUUUCGACUCCAGUGUUUUAGCUUUCGCAGAAAUAAUAGUUUUUGCAUGUCGUUACCGAAUAAUAAUAAUAAAAAAACCCAUAUAUUAAUUGCAAAUAAUGUUAUCUGACAUUGAUUUCUCUUUAUCUUACCUAACAAAAUCCCAUUUUAUAUAUUUCGAUUGUUUAGAUCACAUCACAAAACACAUUAUUGCUUUGUUUCUUUGUUGCCUCUACGAACACGUAUUGUUUAGAUCAAUAAAUGAAUUUUUUCCAAGCCGUUACCUAUACUCCAAUCUCUAAAUAUAAAAUUCGUUUUUAACAUUUUAUACACUCCUCGACUUCUGUUGAUUUACAAAACUCUCGUUGUUUGUUUACGAAAGAAGGGAAGUUCGUAUCGGAACUCGAGCCGCGACUUAUCUUUUCGUCGAGUGAUUUUACUCAUUAAAACUUUAAUUGGAUGUCCGCAUCGAAGGGUUAGACUUAAACUUUCAAAGAUUGUUUGACAGCUUGGAAACCGCAGGCAUCGACCCGAAUUAAUAAACUCCAGAGACAAGUCAUUAAGAGGUUUUUAAAAGCUAUUACCUUCAUUGUCAGAAUUGAUAGAGAUGUAAGGCCGAGCACUAGAAAUUCCACUCUUGAAAAAUAUUCGUUAAGUGGACUUAAAGAUUAAAGAUCUUUUAAAGGAGACCAUCGAGAAAUUUGGAAGAUUUUACAAAUCGACAUUUAACAUCGGUGCAAUCGAUAACUGCCUACGGUACGAGGCUCCACAUUCAGUAGAAGGGAUUAAUUAAUGUUAAGUAUCGAUUUAAAGAAAGACGUAUUAAGCGAGUUAUUCUUCAGUUAAGGUGUGCUAAUUGUAAGUGUUCGAGAAACUAAUUACAGAAUAUGAAGUUUCAUUGAUUAUAAUUGAAUGUGUAAUUGAUAUAUACAUAUGUGUGUGUGUGUAGUUCUGUAAUAUAUUUAACAGUUGCAUCUGGUCACGUUCUGCUUCGUUUCUAAUUAAACCGAAUUAAGAAGAGCGAAAAUUAGAUUGUAGUCGGUUAAUUUCAAUUUAAGUAAACACGGCGUUGUUGUUUGUUAAGAAAUCUCCUAGAUAUUAUUUUUUGCAAGCGGGUGAUGUAUCAUAAAUACACAUUUUUAAUGAUAAAUUUAGAAAAAAAAAGGAGAUGAUAUCAGUUGUUUCUGGCCGAAACUAAUAAUAAAAAUGGGUAGAAGAUACUUUAAAGUGACUAAAACAGAAGGGGGAGGAUAAAAUAUACAUUUUUAGGCGGAAAAUAAUCUGCCGUAAUGGAAAAUUCAAUAAGACGUUUCGGAAACAGAUAAGAAAAAAAGCCAUAAAGUUAUUUUUGAAGUUACCCUAUCUUAUUUUUCUUUUUUUUUUCAUCAAGUUGUAAUUAGAUUCUUCGGGUCCGGUAUAGGAAUGGAAACAAAGUUAAGUCUCUGCUCCCUUUCUAACUAUUCUGGGUGCACUUAAAACUCCCUUUUGG